UUGGUAUCACAGCACUCUAAUGAGGGUGACCCCUCUCCUCUCCCUGCCUCACAUCCAGCAGCUAUGGGGCUUGAGAUCUGGACCCAGUGCCUUUUGCUGCAGGCUCAUUGAAAAGAGAAUGUGGCAGAAAGCCCCCUCCUCAGGUGGGGCCAUGACCAUACCUGGAUGACAGUUGAUUCUGCCCAUCCUUCUAGAAUGAUCUGUUUACCAGUCCUGGAACCACUUCUGCUUACCAAUGAGGAAAGAUAAGAGCAUGAAAGGACUGUGCAUAUCCAUCACCAGAUAGACUACAGCGGCUCAAGAAAGCAGCUCACCAUCAACUUCUCACGGACAAUUAGAGAAUCCAACAUUUAUUAAGUCAAGCGCAUAUCUGUGAUUUUCCACAUGAUUCUACCAUGUCAACAUCCUUGGAAGCCAGGAUCACAACAAACCAUCGCAAACCUGAGAGGAGGAGGAGCAAGUGCCUGCUCAACUUGUGGUGACUGGGGAAAGUGUGGAGCUUGAAAAGGAGGACUGGAAGUCCAUACAGUCAGGUGGUGAGAGGCAAUCCCCGACCCAGGA